UACGUAGGGACCAAGCGUUGUUCGGAUUUACUGGGCGUAAAGGGCGCGUAGGCGGCAAUUCAAGUCAGCUGUGAAAUCUCCGGGCUUAACUCGGAACGGUCAGCUGAUACUGCUUUGCUAGAGUGCAGAAGGGGCAAUCGGAAUUCUUGGUGUAGCGGUGAAAUGCGCAGAUAUCAGGAAGAACACCCGUGGCGAAGGCGGCUCUCUGGGACGGUACUGACGCUGAGACGCGAAAGCGUGGGGAGCGAACAGG
rnacentral:rRNA from 1 species